rfam:Cavia porcellus supercont2_19 genomic scaffold, whole genome shotgun sequence.
UGGCACCCGUCGUGGGGCUCCUGGCACGAAGGGCUCAACGAGGGAGCCGUCCUGAGACACGCACGUAAAAGUGAAACUAAAAGUUUUGCGACCAAUGCUACGUGGGAGCCUGCCGCGCCGCUAGAGUCAUGGGUCAGGCAUUAAGUGACCAUAAACACUUUGUAUCAACUUUAAGUAAAUCUUUAAAGACAAGAGGGAUAAAGGCUAAAGAAAAAGAUUUAUUGCAGUAUUUUUCAAUUUAUUCAUAAGGUUUGCCCUU